rnacentral:rRNA from 1 species
GACGAACGCUGGCGGCGUGCCUAAUACAUGCAAGUCGAGCGCUGAAGGUUGGUACUUGUACCGACUGGAUGAGCAGCGAACGGGUGAGUAACGCGUGGGGAAUCUGCCUUUGAGCGGGGGAUAACAUUUGGAAACGAAUGCUAAUACCGCAUAAAAACUUUAAACACAAGAUUUAAGUUUGAAAGAUGCAAUUGCAUCACUCAAAGAUGAUCCCGCGUUGUAUUAGCUAGUUGGUGAGGUAAAGGCCCACCAAGGGGAUGAUACAUAGCCGACCUGAGAGGGUGGUCGGCCACCUUGGGACUGGGGACCGGCCCCAGCUCCUUCGGGGAGCAGCAGUAGGGAAUCUUCGGCAAUGGACGAAAGUCUGACCGCACAACGCCGCGUGAGUGGAGAAGGGUUUCGGAUCGUAAAACUCUGUUGGUAGGGAAGAACGUUGGUGAGAGUGAAAAGCUCAUCAAGUGACGGUAACUACCCAGAAAGGGACGGCUAACUACGUG